AGUUGAAGAUAUUAAAAGUACAGUACUGUAUAUUGGGUAAAUGUUAUUGUUAAUUUUCGCUGAAUCGUACAGUAAUUUUGGCUGUGGAUCAUGGGGUGAAAAGUGGAGAUGAACCAAAACUGGGAGUGGAUAUUGAAGUAAAAUAGUGUCAGGACACAAAAGACUGCGUUUCUAAGCCGGUCUUCAUCCAUACCGUAAUAUACGUAAGAGUAGUGCAACCACAUUUUAGGUGCGGCUGGCGGGGCGGCUAGCUUGAUUGUGACUUCGUAAGUGAGGGCUCACUUGACCGCGAAAAAAAGACUCACACAGGCUCACCUCUACACGGCUGUCGUCUCCUGUAACCCUGCAUGGUUCUAAGGUUCUUGUUUCUGUUGUUCUUGUAGUUAUUGUCCUCAGAAAAACGACUCACACAGGAUCACCUCUGCAGUGCUGCCGUCUCCUGUAACCCUGCAUGGUUCUAAGCUACGUUUUCUUUCUUCUUUCUAUUGUUCUUGUAGUUUUUGUCCUCAGAUAAGGUUUGAAGUGUCUGUGUUGUGCAGCUGGUCUGGUCUGUCUCUAGACAGUCCAGGCUGCACCCACCAGUAAAUGGUGGAGGCUCACAAGGACAACACACAAGUUUCUGAACUCUGCGUGAGGGUUUCUCCGACGAAGUGAGGGCCGUGAGGCACAGCUCCCCGUCCCCCGGUGACCCUGCUAGGUCCACCUUCUUAGGGAAACCCUCUGCAGAGGAGCCGAGAGAGCCAGGAACUUUGAGUUGUGUUUGUCCACUCAGGCAUCAUUCAUACUUGCUCUGUAGGCAGUUCCUGUCAGAAGGAAGAGGCACAGCAGGUGCGC